UUGGAGGGCAAGUCUGGUGCCAGCAGCCGCGGUAAUUCCAGCUCCAAUAGCGUAUAUUAAAGUCGUUGCAGUUAAAAAGCUCGUAGUUGAAUUUCGAGACCGGCUUAUUGGUCGUGCUUUUGUACGUACUGGUAUAAUCGGUUUCUCCUUUCUGACGAACUAUAAUGCCAUUAAUUUGGUGUUAUAGGGAAUCAGGACUGUUACUUUGAAAAAAUUAGAGUGUUUAAAGCAGGCUCACGCUUGAAUACAUUAGCAUGGAAUAACGGAAUAGGACGUUUGAUUCUAUUUUGUUGGUCUCUAGGAUCGACGUAAUGAUUAAUAGGGAUAGUUGGGGGCAUUAGUAUUCAAUUGUCAGAGGUGAAAUUCUUGGAUUUAUUGAAGACUAACUACCGCGAAAGCAUUUGCCAAGGAUGUUUUCAUUAAUCAAGAACGAAAGUUAGGGGAUCGAAGACGAUCAGAUACCGUCGUAGUCUUAACCAUAAACUAUGCCGACUAGGGAUCGGAUGAUGUUAAUUUUUUAAUGACUCAUUCGGCGCCUUACGGGAAACCAAAGUGUUUGGGUUC
rnacentral:rRNA from 1 species